ensembl:lncRNA
UUUUAAAGAGCCUCCAACAGCAUGAGCAAGCAGCUAACAUUUGCCUUUCCAAUCAUGUACGUUCCGAAAGUACAAGGAGAGGAUGAGACAGGACAGGAAGGAGAGGACCUGGAGGAAAGCCUAGAACAAACACCGGAGGAGCGUGUACAAUUGCUGGAGCAGAACAUGGCUGAGCAGAACAGAGAAGGAGGUUUGGUGGACAAUGGAGACUACAAGGUUUGAGUUCCUGUGGCUUGGAGUAUCAUGAACCACAACUAACUGGCUGAAGUAUGAAAAUUGCUGAAGGGCAUUUUCUAUCACACUUUGGGCAGCUGCACAUGAAAUUGAUGGAAAAUUACCUUUCCAAGGUGAGGAGGAGCUGCUGACUCCCCUGAGGGCAGAGAAGCCUUGCAGGGAGAUGUUGACAAAUGGAAGGACUGGGCAAUCACCAACCACAUGAAGUUCAGCAAGAGCAAGUGCCAGAUUCUGAAUCUGGAAUGGGACAAUUCUGGCUAUAGGUGCAGACUGAGGGAUGAGAGCCCGGAGAGCAGCUCCACGGAAAGUGACCUGGG